UUAGCUCAAGGGCAGAGCACUUAUCUAACACACAGGAGGUUGUGAGUUCGAGUCUCAUA
rnacentral:tRNA from 1 species